AUUGAACGCUGGCGGCAUGCUUUACACAUGCAAGUCGAACGGUAACAGGCCGCAAGGUGCUGACGAGUGGCGAACGGGUGCGUAAUGCAUCGGAACGUGCCCAGUCGUGGGGGAUAACUACUCGAAAGAGUAGCUAAUACCGCAUACGAUCUAUGGAUGAAAGCGGGGGACCGUAAGGCCUCGCGCGAUUGGAGCGGCCGCUGUCAGAUUAGGUAGUUGGUGGGGUAAAGGCUCACCAAGCCAACGAUCUGUAGCUGUUCUGAGAGGACGACAAGCCACACUGGGACUGAGACACGGCCAAGACUCCUACGGGAGGCAGCAGUGGGGAAUUUUGGACAAUGGGCGCAAGCCUGAUCCAGCAAUGCCGCGUGCAGGAAGAAGGCCUUCGGGUUGUAAACUGCUUUUGUACGGAACGAAACGGCUCUGGUUAAUACCCGGGGCUAAUGACGGUACCGUAAGAAUAAGCACCGGCUAACUACGUG
rnacentral:rRNA from 1 species